GUGCUUUCUUCGGCAGCACAUGUUCUAAAAUUGGAACUAUACAGAGAAGAUCAGCACGGCCCCUGGGAAAGAUUGACAUGCAAAUUCAUGAAGCGUUCAAUAAAAAA
rnacentral:snRNA from 1 species